GAAAUGCGAUAAGUAAUGUGAAUUGCAGAAUCUCGUGAAUCAUCGAAUCUUUGAACGCACAUUGCGCCAUCGGAGUCCUACCCGAUGGCACAUCUGGUUGAGGGUCGUGAUCAAGAAAACAGCAGGCAAAGGGCUGUAUUAGAUUGACUGGUGAAUCCCAAUGUCGGCGACCGUCUAACACGUCGAUUGUGUUUCACCAUAAUGCUCAGAGGGGUUGCUUCGGCAGCUCGUCACACGGACGGGCACUUGCCAGCUGGGCUGGCGUCCCGCCACCGGGAUUAUGCAUUUAUACCGCGGUGGGUCGGAGGACUAGAGUUGCGCGAGUGCUGUACGUGCCUGACACACACACAAAUCGUAUUCCCGACCUCAACUCAGGUGUGAUUACCCGCUGAACUUAAGC
rnacentral:misc_RNA from 1 species